rnacentral:rRNA from 1 species
CCAAUAGCGUAUAUUAAAGUUGUUGCAGUUAAAAAGCUCGUAGUUGAAUUUCGGGAUCAAUAUGUCGGUCGUGCCUUCGGUACGUACUGGUAUCAUUGGUCUCUCCUUUCUGACGAACCAUGAUGUCAUUAAUUUGGUGUUAUGGGGAGUUAGGACUGUUACUUUGAAAAAAAUUAGAGUGUUUAAAGCAGGCUUUAGCUUGAAUACAUUAGCAUGGAAUAAUGAAAUAGGACGUUCGAACCUAUUUUGUUGGUUUCUAGGAUCAACGUAAUGAGUAAUAGGGAUAGUUGGGGGCAUUAGUAUUCAAUUGUCAGAGGUGAAAUUCUUGGAUUUAUUGAAGACUAACUACUGCGAAAGCAUUUGCCAGGGAUGUUUUCAUUAAUCAAGAACGAAAGUUAGGGGAUCGAAGACGAUCAGAUACCGUCGUAGUCUUAACCAUAAACUAUGCCGACUAGGGAUCGGAUGAUGUUAAUUUUUUAAUGACUCAUUCGGCGCCUUACG